UUAUCUUAACACAAAGUACUUCAGGGAAUAGAAUAAAGUUGCAAACGGGGAAUCAAUUCCAAUACAACUUUUUUUCCUUGAAAAACAAACACAAAAACAGUUUCCUUCCCAGCAAAGAAAGAAAGUGACCACAGCAAAACAUGGGUUGCUUCAGUUCUCGCAGUUCCACAUCCAAAUCCUCAUCUCCCAUAGAACCACCACCCUAUCAAAUUCAAAAUCAACAUCAAAAUGCUGCUCAGCAAUACCAAGAACCCCAAAAUCUCCAACAACAAGUCCUUCUGCAAAUCCCAGGAUGUAGAGUUCACCUCAUGGAUGAAGGAGAAAGUAUAGAACUUGCAAACGGUGAGUUCAUCCUUGAGAACAUCUUGGACGAGAAUAUUUCUCUGGCCACCAUAAUCAAAGUUGGUGAUGAACUUCAGUGGCCCCUGACAAAAGAUGAGCCUGUUGUAAAGCUUGAUGCUUUGCACUAUCUCUUCUCUUUGCCCAUGCAUGGUGGUGAUCCUCUGAGCUAUGGUGUCACUUUUCCAGAGCAGUAUGAAAGCAAUUUGGGCUUUCUGGAUUCGUUUUUGAAAGAGCACUCUUGCUUUAGCGGCUUGAGCACAUCCACCAAAACUAACAAAGGUGUUGAUUGGAAGGAGUAUGCUCCAAGAAUGGAUGACUACAAUAAUGUGUUGGCAAAAGCAAUUGCAGGAGGGACUGGCCAGAUUGUCAAGGGGAUCUUCAUGUGUAGCAAUGGUUACACCAAUCAGCUUCAAAAAGGAGGGGAAGUGACAUUGGCUCGUCCUGUUGAGGAGAAAAGUUAUGUCAAGGAACAAGGAAGUAAUAGCGGCAAAAAUUCUGGUGCCAAAAAGAAGAGUGAAAUCAACAAGAGCUUGAAACGUGUGAGAAAGUUGUCAAAGAUGACAUCAAAGCUCAGCAAAUCUAUGCUUGAUGGGGUUGGCAUUGCGACCGGAUCAGUGAUGAGGCCUGUGGUUAACUCCCAGGCAGGGAAGGCAUUCUUUGCCAUGGUUCCAGGACAGGUCCUCUUGGCUUCCCUUGAUGCCGUCAAUAAGAUUUUGGAUGCAGCUGAAGUUGCAGAGAAGCAAGCGCUUUCUGCUACCUCUGGUGCUGCUACUAGAAUGGUCAGCAACAGGUUUGGGGAAAGUGCAGGGGAGGCAACUGAGGAUGUGUUUGCAACAGCAGGGCAUUGUGCAAACACUGCUUGGAACAUCUUCAAAAUAAGAAAGGCCAUCAAUCCAGCAUCAUCUGUCUCUACAGGAGUAUUGAAGAAUGCUGCCAAAAGCAGAAGCAGAAGUUCUUAAAAGCCAAUUUGAGAUUUAUUACUCGUCAUUCACUGGAGGUUGUGGUAAAAAUGUAUGAAAGAAAAUUCCUCAAUAGAUUGUUGGUCCUAAUCUUGAGUCUUCACAACCACUGUGUAGAGACAUGCAAGAGGUUUUAGAGAGGCAAAGCGAGAAACUAGAGAAAGAAGGCGUAGACGAGCUGCAUGCAAAAGGGCGCAAAGAGAACUAGAUCAACAAAUUGUCAUAGCAGUGGCUUUGCUUGAUGAAGAAAACCAGAGCCGUCGUGGUUCACGAGAAUGCCGUGCCCCGAAUGUGGACAGACAUAGACAUUCUCGGGGUGGAUGAGAUUGCCCGGAUGGGGAAGUUCACUGCUUUGGAGAGCUUUGUAAGAUUUUGUGAUGUAGUG